rnacentral:rRNA from 1 species
CGCUGGCGGCACGCCUAACACAUGCAAGUCGAACGAAGUAGCAAUACUUAGUGGCAGACGGGUGAGUAACAUGUAGGUAUCUGCCCUUUGGCCUGGAAUAACACGAGGAAACUUGUGCUAAUACCGGAUAAGUCUUUACGGAGAAAGCUUUAUGCACCAUUGGAUGAGCCUGCACUUGAUUAGUUUGUUGGUAGGGUAAUGGCCUACCAAGACUGUGAUCAAUAGCUGAUUUGAGAGGAUGAUCAGCCACAUUGGGACUGAGACACGGCCCAAACUCCUACGGGAGGCAGCAGUGGGGAAUCUUGCACAAUGGAGGAAACUCUGAUGCAGCGAUGCCGCGUGAGUGAAGAAGGCCUUUGGGUUGUAAAGCUCUUUCGUCGGGGAAGAAAAUGACUGUACCCGAAUAAGAAGGUCCGGCUAACUUCGUGCCAGCAGCCGCGGUAAUACGAAGGGACCUAGCGUAGUUCGGAAUUACUGGGCUUAAAGAGUUCGUAGGUGGUUGAAAAAGUUAGUGGUGAAAUCCCAGAGCUUAACUCUGGAACUGCCAUUAAAACUUUUCAGCUAGAGUAUGAUAGAGGAAAGCAGAAUUUCUAGUGUAGAGGUGAAAUUCGUAGAUAUUAGAAAGAAUACCGAUUGCGAAGGCAGCUUUCUGGAUCAUUACUGACACUGAGGAACGAAAGCAUGGGUAGCGAAGAGGAUUAGAUACCCUCGUAGUCCAUGCCGUAAACGAUGUGUGUUAGACGUUGGAAAUUUAUUUUCAGUGUCGCAGGGAAACCGAUAAACACACCGCCUGGGGAGUACGACCGCAAGGUUAAAACUCAAAUGAAUUGACGGGGACCCGCACAAGUAGUGGAGCAUGUGGUUUAAUUCGAAGAUACGCGCAGAACCUUACCAACACUUGACAUGUUCGUCGCGACUCUAAGAGAUUAGAGUUUUCGGUUCGGCCGGACGAAACACAGGUGCUGCAUGGCUGUCGUCAGCUCGUGUCGUGAGAUGUUGGGUUAAGUCCCGCAACGAGCGCAACCCUCACUUUUAGUUGCCAUCAUUAAGUUGGGCACUCUGAAAGAACUGCCAGUGAUAAGCUGGAGGAAGGUGGGGAUGACGUCAAGUCCUCAUGGCCCUUACGUGUUGGGCUACACACGUGCUACAAUGGUAUCUACAACAGGAAGCAAGACUGCGAAGUUAAGCAAAUCCCUAAAAGAUACCUCAGUUCGGAUUGCACUCUGCAACUCGAGUGCAUGAAGCUGGAAUUACUAGUAAUCGUGGAUCAGCGUGCCACGGUGAAUGCGUUCCCGGGUCUUGUACACACCGCCCGUCACACCAUGGGAGUUGGUUCUACCUUAAGGCAAGGUUUCAAACCCUUGACCACGGUAUAGUCAGCGA